UCUAGUUCUCUAUGUUUACUUAAAUAUUUUUAUUAUUAUUAGCAAUAAAUUAAUGAAUUCCUGUUUUAAUAAAUUCUUAGUUAUGAAUUCUAUUAUAAAUAAUCCGUAUUAAGACCAGACUAAGAGAACUGAUGUAGGCUACGGACAAAUCUGUGUAUCUCUACGCAAUUUUGGUCUUUGAGCGCGAUUUGUGAAUUGAACAGGACAGGGCAGAUCAGAUGUUACCAAGUACUAUAGUCUAUGAAGCUACAAAAAGCAAAACAUUUCGAUUAAUCCAACUGUUGUGAUCUAACAGAUUCUUGGCUUCCUUAAUAAAGUUUCAAUAAGAUAAGCUUUGGAAAUCGAAAACAAAACAAAAAAGAAAAAUUAUGAAAGGCUUUCUGAUGGCAUCUUUUUCGUGUUUUCCAAACUUCAGAGAAUAUCUAAAGAGGAAAAGAAAUUCUGGAUUCAUUUCCAAUAGUGAAAAGGAGAAUUUUUUGGUAUCCUUCAACAUCAAAUGUUGAUUUUUUUACUGAAAACAUAAGGCAAGACCUGCCACUAAGAGAUAAACUGGCUGAUUUAUCCUGCAAAGUAGAUACUACUGUCAAGCCAAUAUUUCCUAACGUAAUGACAAAGCUCACGAUUUCUAAUAAAGAAAUACUUUGGCUCGUAGAUGCUGAUUUGCUUUCUCUGAAGAAGGGCCAAGAUAUCCCAGUUAGAGAAAAUGUAAAUAAUUUAAGCAGCCAUGUAAAUACAUGCAUAAAGCCAAAUAAUGAAAGUAUGCACUCUUCUACAAGCCUAAAAAGAAGUGCAGUAUCUAUUCCGAACUUUAACUCCAGCCGUUGAGAAAGAAUUAUUUAUGAUGAAAUAAUGGAAGAGGAAGGAAGACGUUUCAGUAUAUUUAUCAAAAAAUACCAAGCAGAUCUUAAAGAAGAAAUAUUUAAAGGUAGAUACACAAACAACUUGGAAUUAAAAAAAACUGCACAUUAAGAAAGCUGCAUUAUUACAGAAACACAUAGAUUCACCCUGUGAUCUUGUAGAAAACCUAGAAAAAAUGCCUAGUAUUCAAAAACAAAAGCUCUCUUCUGUUAAAUGCAAGAAAAAGGCAUCAAAUCAGAUUAAAAAUUUCACAACUAUGUUUUACCAUUUAAAAGGACAUAUACCUACUAAAGUCAAGACUGUUGUGGAUUGUAUAAAUUAUGAUGCUUGCAAGACUGCUUAUGAGAAAUGCAAAGAUGAGCGAGCGAAAAACUUAUCUAAAGCUGAAAUGGAAAAAUCUGUAUGGAAGGAGAGCACAGAAAAAUUUAAUAAAUGUGUAUCAUCAUGCCGUGCCAAUAUGGUGUCACCUGACUCAUUUCCCAAUGUCCAUACUGUUACCAAUGUAGAAGAUAUGCUUGGUGGAGCUUGCUUUUAUGGCAUCUGUAAUGAAAGACUCAAUAAUAACUUGCAAGAAAACUGUUGACAGUCUAAAUAAGCAGAUGGGUUCUUUUAUAUUUGAUAACCAUAAUUUUUUUAUGUCAGAAAAAGUGGAUUGUUUUUUGUUUUUUUUUGGUUAAAUAAAAGUGGUUUUUCUUUU